UACGGAGGGGGCUAGCGUUGUUCGGAAUUACUGGGCGUAAAGCGCACGUAGGCGGCUUUGCAAGUUAGAGGUGAAAGCCCGGGGCUCAACUCCGGAUUUGCCUUUAAAACUGCAUCGCUAGAAUUGUGGAGAGGUAAGUGGAAUUCCGAGUGUAGAGGUGAAAUUCGUAGAUAUUCGGAAGAACACCAGUGGCGAAGGCGACUUACUGGACACAUAUUGACGCUGAGGUGCGAAAGCGUGGGGAGCAAACAGG
rnacentral:rRNA from 1 species